rnacentral:rRNA from 1 species
GACGAACGCUGGCGGCGUGCUUAACACAUGCAAGUCGAACGGAGUGGCGAACGGGUGAGUAACACGUGGGUGAUCUGCCUUGCACUUCGGGAUAAGCUUGGGAAACUGGGUCUAAUACCGGAUAGUGCAAGAUGAGCUCGCGGCCUAUCAGCUUGUUGGUGGGGUAAUGGCCUACCAAGGCGUCGACGGGUAGCCGGCCUGCGAGGGUGGACGGCGCCAUUGUGACUGCGGUAGGGCGCAGAAUGCAACGUGAGGCAGUGGUGGGGAAUCUUACACAAUGGGCGGACGCCUGAUGCAGCGACGCCGGGUGGGUGAUGAAGGCUUUCGGGUUGUAAACUCCUUUCGACAGAGACGCGGUACCUGUAUAAGAAGCACCGGCUAACUACGUGCCAGCAGCCGCGGUAAUAC